GUGUGUGAGUGUUGUAGCCUUUUUCCCUUUAAUUAUUUUAGUUGUUCUAGCAUUGAUGCCUGAACUGGGUGAACUUGUAAAGAUACUAAAAGUGAAAAAACUUUAUUCUCUCUGUAGAGGAUGAUGAUGAUUAUUCGCUUUUAAGUUCGUGUCCACUUACUAUGUGGUUUUCACACCCUUAUUCCUUCCCUUGUAGUUCCAUACUUUAUGCUAUAUGGCAUACUUUCUAUUUUCAAUUUUUU
rnacentral:misc_RNA from 1 species